AACGAACGCUGGCGGCAGGCCUAACACAUGCAAGUCGAACGGGACCUUAGGGUCUAGUGGCGGACGGGUGCGUAACGCGUGGGAACGUGCCCUUCGGUUCGGAAUAGCCCCGGGAAACUGGGAGUAAUACCGGAUAAGCCCUCCGGGGGACAGAAUUAUCGCCAAUGGAUCGGCCCGCGUUGGAUUAGGUCGUUGGUGAAGUAAUGGCUCACCAAGCCGACGAUCCAUAGCUGGUUUGAGAGGAUGAUCAGCCACACUGUGACUGAGACACGGCCCAGACUCAUACGGGAGGCAGCAGUGGGGAAUCUUAGACAAUGGGGGAAACCCUGAUCUAGCCAUGCCGCGUGAUCGAUGAAGGCCUUAGGGUUGUAAAGAUCUUUCAGUGGGGAAGAUAAUGACUGUACCCACAGAAGAAGCCCCGGCUAACUCGUGCCAGCCGCCGCGGUAA
rnacentral:rRNA from 1 species